GUCAUGCCAAUAGAGCCAAUUAACAACAACGCUUUGCCAUUUUUAUUAUGCAGCCGCGUUCUUUGUUACUCAUGUAUCAGUUUUACUCAUUUACGCUUGUCAAAUUUACACACCUGACGCAUUCUUCUUGAUCUUUAAGAACUUAUUUAUUAUGUUUAUUCAUACAGAAACGCAGUCUUGCUCCUCUGAGACUCAAGGAAAGAAAUACAUCCAGACAUUUUCAGAGGAAUGGAGAUCUGAACAUGAUUUUAAGGACACUGAGAUGCAUAUGAAACUAGAAGUUUAUACACAGCAGGAGGAGAAUGAAGAGCAAAUGCCUGUAUGCAGUGAAUCAGCAUCUUUAUCACCAUGUAUGGACAAUUAUCAUGAUCAGACGCCCAGCAAAGACACUGAAACCCAAAUGAUGGACAGUAGUGAGAAUAAUUUUCCCUUUAUUAACCAAGGACCACGAAUAAAGACUGAACUUGAGAGUAAUUCUGAAACAAGUACCACCUGUCAAGUACAGCAGCACAUCACACAACACGGCUUGAAUGAUUCAGGGGCCAGUGAUUCUUCCAGUGAUGCCAACAAAAUCACAUUCAGCCACAUUGGCUCCCCCAGACAUGAGACACAAACAUUUAAUGUAAGUCUGUGUACAUGUAGAAAGCUCAUCUUAAAAGUGAAGUAUUAUUGUUUUAAUUUAAUUAAAAAAACUUUUAUCCAUAAAUGUGAGCUGAUGGAUGUCAUUGUUUUUCAGCUGCCCCUCAGAAAUCAAGUGAUGUUGACGCAGCAUAGGAUGGAGCUGGCCCAGAUAAGAGAGAGAAAAUUGCAAUCACAGCAGGAAAGAAACAAGAGGAAUAAGAGUGAAAAUGAGGAAAUUCAAAGAGUAAAGAAGGUCAGACACAUUGAAGAAGUCGCACAUGAUAAAGAACAACAACAAACGCAGUCAAAGACAAACCUGGCUGACAUUUGUUUGGAGGACGUUCAGCAUGAAAAGGAACUGUCUGAAAGCUACCCGACGCAUCAUGAUAUUCACAGAAAUCCACACGGUACAGGAGAGUAUUUGUGUGUUGUGUGCCGCAGGAGAUUCAGCUCACCAGGACUGCUGAAAAUUCAUCUGCGAGUUCACUCUGGAAGAUCACAGUUGUCAUAAACAUUU
rnacentral:lncRNA from 1 species